CAAGAUGUUCGGGGAGGUAAAGCAAAGUCCGCAUGCCUAAGCAGUGCAAAGCAAGGAAUUCUUUUGCUGCUCUCCCUGGGCAGGCAGAUAGACACUCGGCUGCUCUGGGGAAGCAGGGCUUAUCAUGCGUAACAACUUGCUGGGAAGGUACUGCCGUCACUCCCGAUGUGAACAGCUCCUUCUUUAAGGCCAUCUUUUCUUGCUGUGCAUGACUGGCAGCAAUAUGGAGUGGGAUCUUUCUCUGGCCGUACUAAAGUCAUCAGCCAGGACAAUCACAGUUGCUCUGAACCGGCGCUUACUGUCGGCGUGCUCAUUCCCUUUAGAAAUUGUGAGUUGCAGUUGUUUUUAUUUGCCAGUGCAGAUGCUGGGUAUUUGUGGAACAUCCAGAAAGCGCGCUGUGGAAGCAGGAAUGAGAGAGCAGAGUUUCAUUUUGCGUGUGCUAGAAGAAAGGCGGAGUGCCUUUCCCCAAAGCAGGAAAUUCACGGGCUGUGUCAAGGUGUAAGUCACGCUGCCGGCCUGUGAAGAGAGCAGGGCCGUGCUCAGUAGCCCAGGAGCGUUUUGUAGGGAGCCCUUUGCAGGCCCUGAAGUCUGCUGCACAGCUUGUGGUCUCUGUGAAGAGACGACUUGGGAUGGGCGGAGAGGCAGAGGGGCGCAGCAGAAGAGCCUGCUUAUGCCUCCUGUGAAUUGUUUGUUCAAGCAGAGGAGUGCCUAGCUCAGUAGCGGUGCCCAAGAGCCUGGAAGUUGCUUAUGCAUGACAAGGUGCUGAGUAUCAAGGAGGCCCUUGUUCUUGCAGCACUCUGCUGUCACGGGCGGCGUGCUGAUAGCUCCCAAAUGUGACGGGUGCUUUUUUCAUGGCUGUAUGAAACGCUAGGAUGGAGAUCAGUGGAGCCCUCUGGCGGGGACUGCCCUUGGUCAUCUGUGUCUCGGCACACGGCAAGAGGCGGCGCACUUAAAGGGCGAGGGAUUUCCCAUCAGAUGCUUAUGUUUGAGGGACGAGUGGGUCGCAACAGCCAAAUGAGAAGCGGAGCGGGCAGAACUGUUAGCUGGGACCAAAGUGCAGGUAGUAGAGCUGGUCUCCAGAAACCCCCGUUUUUGAGACGCAGCCCGCAGCACCAGCACCGGGACACGUUUGCCCGGUGCGGUUGUGUAGGAGUGAAUGUGUUUUUCCUGUGAGCGCUUCUCUCACCAAGGGAAUUGGGCACGUAUUCAGAGGGAGGCGUGAGAGUAUGAAAGAGUUAAAGAAGAAGCCAGGGAGCCAAGCCCUAAGCAGUAGAAAACCACGUGGGAGGUACGGAAGUAACAUGAAAUGGCGGCUCCUGAGAGUGGAAUGUGGAGUACAACAAAAUGGCGCCUCCCUAUGUAGGAGGAUCUACCUGACCUGCUGGCUUAACUGGAGAUAUGAGUGUAAUCAAAGGCUGAAUAGCUUUCAGUUGAAUGUACCAUUGGAGACAUGCAAGAAUUCUCUGCAAAGAUGCCAGGUAAUCACUGAAAAUCUGGUAUUCCUUAAGAUGCAUUUGUUUCCUUUCCUGAUAUAUUUACAGUGUAAAGUUUCCUAUGCAAAAUUUUAAAUGAGCAAUUUCCUUCUCUAACACUAAGAUAUUAUUCUAACUCUUAAUAAAGCUUCAGGCAAAACCUCUA